CAAGUCGAACGGUCCGCUUCGGCGGAUAGUGGCGCGCGGGUGCGUAACACGUAUGCAACCUACCUUACAUUGGGGGAUAGCCUUUCGAAAGGGAGAUUAAUACCGCAUAAGACAGUAGCUGGGCAUCCAGUAGCUGUUAAAGAUUUAUCGAUGUAAGCUGGGCAUGCGUCCAAUUAGUUAGUUGGUGAGGUAACGGCUCACCAAGACGAUGAUUGGUAGGGGAACUGAGAGGUCAAUCCCCCACACUGGCACUGAGAUACGGGCCAGACUCCUACGGGAGGCAGCAGUAGGGAAUAUUGGGCAAUGGACGCAAGUCUGACCCAGCCAUGCCGCGUGCAGGAAGAAGGCGUUCUGCGUUGUAAACUGCUUUUAUAUAGGAAGAAACGACCCUUGCGAGGGGCAUUGACGGUAUUAUAUGAAUAAGCACCGGCUAACUCCGUGCCAGCAGCCGCGGUAAUACGGAGGGUGCAAGCGUUGUCCGGAUUUAUUGGGUUUAAAGGGUGCGCAGGUGGUUUAUUAAGUCAGUGGUGAAAGACGGUCGCUCAACGAUUGCAGUGCCAUUGAUACUGAUAGACUUGAGUAAAGUAGAGGUGGGCGGAAUUGAUAGUGUAGCGGUGAAAUGCAUAGAUAUUAUCAAGAACUCCGAUUGCGAAGGCAGCUCACUUGGCUUUUACUGACACUCAUGCACGAAAGUGUGGGUAUCAAACAGGAUUAGAUACCCUGGUAGUCCACACUGUAAACGAUGAUAACUAGGUGUUGGCCGAAUCUGGUCAGUGCCACAGCGAAAGCGUUAAGUUAUCCACCUGGGGAGUACGCCGGCAACGGUGAAACUCAAAGGAAUUGACGG
rnacentral:rRNA from 1 species